GCGUGGGGCGGAAACGACACUAACAAUCCUUCGGGUGCGUUAAUGGGCGUCGAGCGGCGGACGGGUGAGUAAUGCCUAGGAAAUUGCCUUGAUGUGGGGGAUAACCAUUGGAAACGAUGGCUAAUACCGCAUAAUGCCUACGGGCCAAAGAGGGGGACCUUCGGGCCUCUCGCGUCAAGAUAUGCCUAGGUGGGAUUAGCUAGUUGGUGAGGUAAUGGCUCACCAAGGCGACGAUCCCUAGCUGGUCUGAGAGGAUGAUCAGCCACACUGGAACUGAGACACGGUCCAGACUCCUACGGGAGGCAGCAGUGGGGAAUAUUGCACAAUGGGCGAAAGCCUGAUGCAGCCAUGCCGCGUGUAUGAAGAAGGCCUUCGGGUUGUAAAGUACUUUCAGUUGUGAGGAAGGGUGUGUAGUUAAUAGCUGCGCAUCUUGACGUUAGCAACAGAAGAAGCACCGGCUAACUCCGUGCCAGCAGCC
rnacentral:rRNA from 1 species